rnacentral:rRNA from 1 species
AGUGAACGCUGGCGGCAGGCUUUACACAUGCAAGUCGAACGGCAGCACAGUAUUCGCUUGCUCUUCCGGUUGCCGAGUGGCGGAUGGGUGAGCAGUACAUCCGCAGUUACUUUUUAGAGGGGGGCGAAAUCGGGAUUAUUACGCCAUUCCCGCAUACGAUGUACGGGUGAAACCAGAAGAUCUUCCGACCUUGCGCGAUUCGAUGUCCCGAUGUCGGGUUAGCUAGUUGGCGGGGUAAAGGCGCACCAAGGCGACGAUCCGUAGCUGGUCUGAGAGGAUGAUCAGCCACACUGGAACUGAGACACGGUCCAGACUCCUACGGGAGGCAGCAGUGGGGAAUAUUGGACAAUGGGGGCAAGCCUGAUCCAGCCAUGCCGCGUGGGUGAAGAAGGCCUUCGGGUUGUAAAGCGCUUUUGUUGGGAAAGAAAAGCUGUGGGCUAAUACCCCGCGGGUCUGACGGUACCGAAAGAAUAAGCACCGGCUAACUUCGUG